UCAGGCCUAACACAUGCAAGUCGAACGAGAUUAUAGGGUAAGCUUGCUUACCUUAUAUGACAGUGGCGCACGGGUGCGUAACGCGUAUGCAAUCUACCUUAAUCAGGGGGAUAGCCUCUCGAAAGAGAGAUUAAUACCGCAUAACAUUAUGAUAUGGCAUCAUAUUAUAAUCAAACAUUUAUGGGAUUAAGAUGAGCAUGCGUGACAUUAGCUAGUUGGUGAGGUAACGGCUCACCAAGGCAACGAUGUCUAGGGGAUCUGAGAGGAUGACCCCCCACACUGGUACUGAGACACGGACCAGACUCCUACGGGAGGCAGCAGUAAGGAAUAUUGGUCAAUGGACGCAAGUCUGAACCAGCCAUGCCGCGUGCAGGAAGACGGCCCUAUGGGUUGUAAAGUGCUUUUAUACGGGAAUAAACCUUCUUUCGUGAAAGAAG
rnacentral:rRNA from 1 species